GGCAGAGUCACUAGCUGUUGGGGCCGUUAGGCCUUAGUAGCGCAGCUAACGCGUGAAGUUGACCGCCUGGGGAGUACGGUCGCAAGAUUAAAACUCAAAGGAAUUGACGGGGACCCGCACAAGCGGUGGAUGAUGUGGAUUAAUUCGAUGCAACGCGAAAAACCUUACCUACCCUUGACAUGUCUGGAAAGCCGAAGAGAUUUGGCCGUGCUCGCAAGAGAACCGGAACACAGGUGCUGCAUGGCUGUCGUCAGCUCGUGUCGUGAGAUGUUGGGUUAAGUCCCGCAACGAGCGCAACCCUUGUCAUUAGUUGCUACGCAAGAGCACUCUAAUGAGACUGCCGGUGACAAACCGGAGGAAGGUGGGGAUGACGUCAAGUCCUCAUGGCCCUUAUGGGUAGGGCUUCACACGUCAUACAAUGGUCGGGACAGAGGGUCGCCAACCCGCGAGGGGGAGCCAAUCUCAGAAACCCGAUCGUAGUCCGGAUCGCAGUCUGCAACUCGACUGCGUGAAGUCGGAAUCGCUAGUAAUCGCGGAUCAGAAUGUCGCGGUGAAUACGUUCCCGGGUCUUGUACACACCGCCCGUCACACCAUGGGAGUGGGUUUCACCAGAAGUAGGUAGCCUAACCGUAAGGAGGGCGCUUACCACGGUGGGAUUCAUGACUGGGGGUGAAGUCGUAACAAAGUUAACCGGUAAGC
rnacentral:rRNA from 1 species